UGGGACUCUGGCUCUCCCAAAGGGUGUGGGAAAAAGCCCUGAUUGUGGUGUUUACCGUGUGCGUGGUGUAAAGAAUCCCACGAUGGCCAAUUUCAAAUUACAAUCAAAGUGAGACUAACAUGGCGCUGGAAGGAGAUGAGCACGAUCGCCCUGCACUAGAGCAAGCUGUCUCCAUCACACCAGUCCACUGGGUUGAGCUCCUGUCCGCCUUCUCCCCAGAGCCAUCUCUAAGCCUUGCCUACUCCCUACUUCUUCCCCCGACAUACAUCAGAGUGUCGGGCACCCUUAUGGGUUUACAAAGCACCACUCAGAUGAAAGAAAUCUGCUAUCAGUGAGGCUAAGGGGGCAUCAACCACCGUCGCUGCCCCUCUCUGGCAUCCUGAUCUUGCUGCCAUCCUGGAGGCAGAACCAGACAGAGGAUAUCUCAGCUUCCUGUCCAGGGACAAGAAGUUAUUAAAAUUGAAAAAUAGACUGAAAACUCGUGUCUUGUGUUUUCCUCAACCUCUAUACAUUGACUGUGAAGUUUAAAAAAAUUAUUUCUAAAAUAUAAACAGAUUCUAAAAACCUCAAGUUUA
rnacentral:lncRNA from 1 species